AGCAGCCGCGGUAAUUCCAGCUCCAAUAGCGUAUAUUAAAGUUGUUGCAGUUAAAAAGCUCGUAGUUGAAUUUCGGGAUCAAGGAAUCGGUCAUGCCUUGGUAUGUACUGGUUUUAUUGGUUCUCACCUUCUAAAGAACCAUAAUGUCAUUUAUUUGAUGUUAUGGGGAAUUAGGACUGUUACCUUGAAAAAAUUAGAGUGUUUAAAGCAAGCUUACGCUUGAAUACAUUAGCAUGGAAUAAUGAAAUAGGACAUCAGAUUCUAUUUUGUUGGUUUCUAGGAUCGAUGUAAUGAUUAAUAGGGAUAGUUGGGGGCAUUAGUAUUCAAUUGUCAGAGGUGAAAUUCUUGGAUUUAUUGAAGACUAACUACUGCGAAAGCAUUUGCCAAGGAUGUUUUCAUUAAUCAAGAACGAAAGUUAGGGGAUCGAAGACGAUCAGAUACCGUCGUAGUCUUAACCAUAAACUAUGCCGACUA
rnacentral:rRNA from 1 species